UAAGCUUAUUCAGAAACCACCUCCCCCGACUACCUUGUUUCUUUUCCCAAGGGGGCGAGCGAGCGAGCGGUGCUCCGGUGCCGCGAGGGAGCGAGCGAGCUCUGGUCUGCCGCUGGUUGCUGCGCCGCCGUGCAGGUCCCGAACAAAACCUGGACCGCACCCACCUCUCCCGCUUUGUCUCUCUCUCUCUCUCCCUCUCUCUCUCAACCCCACAAAUUUGUUCCCUCCCGUGCCUGAUCCAGAUCAAUCGAUGCGCCGCUCCUGUCCCAGCCUCCUCCCCCGCCGGUGGCCAUGCGUGUAUCUCCCCAGCCUCCUUCCCCACCCACGGUCGUGCGUCCCUCCCUAAAGCCUCCUUCCCCGCUAGCCGCGGCACGCCGCCCCAGUAUCCUUCCCCAUUCGGCGGCCUCGAGCACCUCCCCCUCGGCCCUCCGACGACCUCGCGCCCGUCCCCAUCCUCCUUCCUUCCGUGUGGCACCGCCCCACCCCCUGUCGGCCAUCCACCAGGCUCCUAUUUCACGCGUGGUGGCCGCGCCAAUCUCCCCAGUUCAGCUCCCCCUGGCCGCUUGGCGCCUCCCCAUGGCCGCAUGCCCACCGAGACCAGAGGAUUUGCCGUUCUGCAAAAACGGCAGUUAACUCGGGUCGUUGUGUGUAGCUACAUGCGAGGAGCAGCCCCUAGCAACGCGUGGUGCCGAGCACGAGCACCUUGGACCUCCCCUGCACCUUCACCCGGGGUGGCAAGCAUGAAGGCAGCCGGUGCUACUUUGACUCUACGGUCAAGGGUGUACGCAUGAGCUUGUGUUUGAUGUUUCAGCCGUUGUAUCUUCUCAAAACUGGUGGUGCGUGCGCUGCUCAUAGUGGUGAUUAGGAGACUGGGGCAAGGAGCAAAGACAUGCAGAGACAACAGUUAACUUCAGUUAAGUUUUUUACAUUCGUGAAGAUUACAAAGAUGGGAAAAAAGAACAGUUAACUUCAAUAACUUACUUUUAUUAAAGUUCUGUAGUUUUUAACGCGGUUCAGGUAACUUCCCAUUUUUUGAUUGGUUCAGUUAACUUGUUUAGCUUUUAUCGCCACCACUAAAUCUACUACGAACGCGACUUGCUUGUGGUGGUCUUGGUUGAGAAUAAACAAGUGUGCAGAGGGUGAGAGGGAAAUAACAAGGUUGUAGGAGCUCAUGCUACAUGUGUUCGAAGCUACAUGGAGAAGUGGUUCUUCUCUGCCCUGGUUUCCUACCCCGUCUCCUGGUGUGCACUAUGCUCCAUCGACGGCAGCGCCCGCUCCAUGCCGCCCCCGACUGCAGUUAACUUCGAGCGCACUGUGCUGCCCGUCCCAAGAUCCCGCUUCAAUGAGACUACAUGGGAGAUGGGAGAGGGCCGGUGGUGCCUGCAAAUUCGCUGCACAGUAAUAUACUAGGUGUGGAUGCAGUUAGCUCGUCCCUCGUGUAGUAAGAGCAAAACAUAGUGCGUUUCUGCAGUUAUCUGUACUCAAACUUAAUAAUUAACUUUUUGAGAUGUGACAGUUCUUUUGCACUUAUUUAUGAAAAAAAUACACAUAAAUUAUUUCAGUUAA